AUAGUUGUGUGUGGAUGUGUGU
rnacentral:piRNA from 1 species